ACUCACAUUAUCAGAAUGAAGUCAUUGUUUGUUUUCCUAAUAUCCCUGUCAUGUUUAUCAGGUGUUCGCUGUGAUGUACAACUUGCCCAGUCAGAGUCAGUGGUGAUAAAGCCGGGAGGGUCUCACAAACUGUCCUGCACAGCCUCUGGCUUCACAUUCAUUGGUCACUGGAUGCACUGGGUUAGACAGGCUCCUGGGAAACGAUUACAGUGGUUAUCUGAUAUUAACUAUGAUGGGAGUACAACACGCUAUGCUGAUUCAGUUAAGGGAAGAUUCACCAUCUCCAGAGACAAUAAUAACAACAAGUUAUAUCUGCAAAUAAACAAUCUACAAACUGAAGACACUGCUGUGUAUUACUGUACUAGAUACGGGACCUCCUUUGACUACUGGGGACAAGGAACCAUGGUCACCGUCACUUCAGCUACUUCAAACCCCCCAUCCCUUUUUCCACUCAUUUCUUGUGGGGAGUCUAUGGACCCAGUCACCAUUGGUUGUUUGGCCAAAGAUUUUCUCCCUGAAACUAUUAGCUUCACCUGGGGAGAUAAGAACAAUGCCAGUUACUCCACUGGCCUCAAGAGCUAUAAACCUGUGAUGCAAUCUUCCGGCUCCUACUCAGCCAGCUCCCAAGUCAACGUUGCCUCUGCAGUCUGGGACAAAAUGGAACCAUUUUACUGCAAUGCCAAACACCUGGAUACCAUUAAGAGUGUGGAGCUCAAGAAAGAUAUAGAACCUAAAUUUGAAAAACCAGUUGUGUCUAUUCACCCUCCAUCCAAGGAUGCACUUGCCUUGAAUGAAAGCCUCUUUAUUGUAUGUCUUGCAACAAAUUUUACUCCCAAACAUAUAGUAAUUAAAUGGCUAAAGAAUGGGAUCCAGACAACAGAAGGUGUCAGAGUUGAAGAACCUGUUGAAGACAAAAAGGAAGUAUAUGAGACAACAUCCUAUCUCUCCAUAACUAGAAAGGAAUGGGAUUUGGAUACUUUGUACUCAUGUGUAGUUGAACAUGCAGAAUCGGGUUCCUUACAAGAGAAGAAUAUGAGCAAAUCACUAAUGUGCGACACCCCAAUAACACCCACUAGUAUCCAAGUAAUCACUAUUCCACCAUCAUUAGAGAGCAUUUUUGAGAAAAAAUCUGCCACACUUACCUGCCUGGUCAGUAAUAUGGCUAACUCUGAGGAUUUGAGAUCAAUAUCCUGGUAUAAAAAAUCUGGUACUCAAGAGAUACCAUUGAAAACAGAACUGGGAGAUGCAAUCUAUAGUGAUAACCGCACCUAUUCUGUAAAAGGAACCACCACUGUCUGCGCUGAUGAAUGGAAUAACGACAAGUUUGUCUGCAAAGUGGAACACACAGAGCUGGCUUCAAUGAAGGAGGUCUUUCUCUUUAAAGAAAAAGGAGAAUACAAUACACCAUCUGUAUAUGUUUUCCCACCACCUCUUGAGGAAUUGUCUAAGAGAGAAACUGCCACCUUGACAUGCUUGGUUAAAGGGUUCAGCCCCUCUGAAAUAUUUGUAAAAUGGCUUCACAAAAAUGAGGCGGUUCCAAAACAAAAUUACAUAAAUACCAGCAUCAAUGACGAGCUUUUACCCAAAGGACAGAAGAGUGGAAAGUUCUUUCUGUACAGUCUUCACACCAUAGACAUUAAAGACUGGGAUGCUGGUGAUAGUUUUUCCUGUGUGGUUGGCCAUGAGUCAUUGCCACUUCAGCUGACCCAAAGGAGCAUUGACAAGUCUUCUGGUAAACCUACUAACGUGAAUGUGUCCCUCGUCUUGUCUGAUACCUGUUAGUGAUCAUCUCCAAAGACCCUAUAACUCCAUCUCAUGUUCUUCCCUAUAUGGUGUAAUGGACAAGGCGGAGGGAGAAGUGUUGACUUUAUGUUUGUCUGUCUGUUCUUGUACAUUUUUUGUCUGCAAAAUUAAAAGUAGAAAUAAAAAUCAAUUUAUACAA